GCUUACGACCACACCGGCCUGAGUACGCCUGAUCUCGUCUGAUCUCGGAAGCUAAGCAGGGUCGGGCCUGGUUAGUUACUUGGCGGGAGAAACGCCUGGGAAUACCAGGUGCUGUAAGCU
rnacentral:rRNA from 1 species